rnacentral:rRNA from 1 species
CAAUAGCGUGUAUUAAAGUUGUUGCAGUUAAAAAGCUCGUAGUUGGAUUUGUGGCUGUCACGGGCGGCCUAUCACUUAGUGUUAGUGCUUGCCUGUGUCGCCAUCCUUGGGUGGAGCCCGUGUGGCAUUAGGUUGUCGUGCGGGGGAUGCCCAUCGUUUACUGUGAGAAAAUUAGAGUGUUCAAAGCAGGCUUAUGCCAUUGAAUAUGUUAGCAUGGAAUAAUAAGAUAGGACCUCGGUACUAUUUUGUUGGUUUGCGCACCGAGGUAAUGAUUAAUAGGGACAGUUGGGGGUAUUCGUAUUUCAUUGUCAGAGGUGAAAUUCUUGGAUUUCUGAAAGACGAACUACUGCGAAAGCAUUUACCAAGGAUGUUUUCAUUAA